GGCACUUGGUGUUUGUUGUUUGUCCAAUUAGUGACCAAACAACUCAAAGACAGGUGCAAGUAUACAUCCUCUUUUGCAACCAAAACUCAUUGUGCAGUAUGAGUUUGGAUACAGAUCAGAAGGGACAUG
rnacentral:snoRNA from 1 species